UGGGGAAUAUUGCGCAAUGGGCGAAAGCCUGACGCAGCGACGCCGCGUGAGGGAUGAAGGUUUUCGGAUCGUAAACCUCUGUCAGAAGGGAAGAAACCGCACUGUGCUAAUCAGCAGUGCCUUGACGGUACCUUCAAAGGAAGCACCGGCUAACUCCGUGCCAGCAGCCGCGGUAAUCCGGAGGGUGCAAGCGUUAAUCGGAAUUACUGGGCGUAAAGCGCACGUAGGCUGCUUGGUAAGUCAGGGGUGAAAUCCCACGGCUCAACCGUGGAAGUGCCUUUGAUGCUGCGUAGGUUGAAUCCGGGAGAGGGGGGCGGAAUUCCAGGGGUAGAAGUGAAAUCCGUAGAUAUCUGGAGGAACAUCAGUGGCGAAGGCGGCCACCUGGAGCGGUAAUGACGCUGAGGUGCGAAAGCGUGGGGAGCAAACAGGA
rnacentral:rRNA from 1 species